CUCCCGCACUCGCUCGUCCCUUCUCCUCCUCGACGCCACCUCCACCCAAUCCCUAACCUUAGCAGCUCCCGACACCGCGGCCAUCUCCUUCGCCCAGCCCGACAGACCGCCGCCGCCCACUUCCACGGUGUCGUCACCGUCGUCCUCGCGUGCACACGGCAAGAGGAGCGCCCCCACCCUCUCCUAUCCUCCUCCCCUCAUCACGAUCCAGGACAAGGAGGGCCACCGUGGCGAGCAGGUCAGGCGGCGCAUCCAGAUUGCUGAGGAGCCGCCCGCAAGGUCAUCCAUGGCUCGACCGAACAGAGCAGGUACUAUGCUUGUCGUGGAUUGCUGCCUCACGUGUGCUGGAUGCUUCUUCCCUUUAUCCUUGGUGUGCAAGACAUGUUCUUUCUAAAAGUGAUGCCCACUAAUGUGUUUGAUACAUCGACUUUGACAUGGUCUCCCCUUUUUAUCCAGUUUGAGGUAUCGAAGUAAUUUUAUCUUGAGAAAAGAGAGCUUUCCUCCUUAUUAGGUCGCUUUAGAGGGUUAGUACGGGAGUUCCUACCAAGACUGACUUAUGGAAGUUAUGCUAGCUCCACCAGUUGGGCCUUCUGUACAAAACUAGACUCAAGAUAAUUUAUUUUGGUGCUUGCGAUAAAUAUUAGAUAGAGGGGUGAUGCACACAUACUUCAUCCAGUCUAUCUGUUCAUGUAUGUUAAUUAACUAAUUAGACAAAAAUAACUCUGUCUCCAUGGUGUUUGUGAUGAUGCUACCAAUUUACUAAACACUAAAA